UGCGCAGGCGGUUAUAUAAGACAGAUGUGAAAUCCCCGGGCUCAACCUGGGAACUGCGUUUGUGACUGUAUGACUAGAGUACGGUAGAGAGGGGUGGAAUUCCUGGUGUAGCAGUGAAAUGCGUAGAUAUCAGGAGGAACAUCGAUGGCGAAGGCAGCCCCUUGGACCUGUACUGACGCUCAUGCACGAAAGCGUGGGGAGCAAACA
rnacentral:rRNA from 1 species